rnacentral:piRNA from 1 species
UGAAGACCCUGACCGGCAAGAC